rnacentral:rRNA from 1 species
GCUUGUCUCAAAGAUUAAGCCAUGCAUGUCUCAGUAUAAGCUUCUAUACGGUGAAACUGCGAAUGGCUCAUUAAAACAGUUACAGUUCAUUUGAUGGUUACUCCUUACAUGGAUAACUGUGGUAAUUCUAGAGCUAAUACAUGCGCCCAAACCUGACUCCGUGGAAGGGUUGUGUUUAUUAGUUACAGAACCAAUGCAAGCUCCGCUUGACCUUUUGGUGAUUCAUGGUAACCGAACGAAUCGCACGGCACCAGCUGGCGAUGGACCAUUUCAGUUUCUGACCUAUCAGCUUCCGACGGUAGGAUAUGGGCCUACCGUGGCAAUGACGGGUAACGGAGAAUUAGGGUUCGAUUCCGGAGAGGGAGCCUGAGAAACGGCUACCACAUCUAAGGAAGGCAGCAGG